rnacentral:lncRNA from 1 species
AAUAAAAGUUUCUCUUCUCCAAAAUCUUUCUACUCUUCCAAAAUUCCCUUAGCCUAAAAGCCUCCCUCCAAAUAUUAAUAGCAAUCCUCUUCCAACACCCUUAUCUCGCCAUAUGCACAUCAUAAAUGAAAUGCCUUUCUUAUGUCUCUGCAUGCGCAUCUACAACCGAUCUGCACAUUAUACCUACAUGUGCCACAACAACACAACAAUGAAAAGUAACAAUUUGUCAUCAAGCGGCACAUUCUCAAAACCCAUUAAUUAAGCGCACAAGGUUAUGAUAACAACGAAAGUGUGGAUAAUGCAUAAUCAUGGUUAAAUCAAGUAUAGUAACUAAGUCCAAGUAGAAUCACAUAUAUAUCAGUGUACACGUCUCAAUCAUGGUAAAUUACAAGAAUAAGUCUGGAUGUUUGUUCAUAGCCUACAUGUAUCUAUUCCCAAGGCAAAUAUAGCAUAAGUCUAAAGAUUUGUUCAUCAUAAGGUACCAAUAACCUUAACAUUCACUUAAAAAAAACUGCGUUUAACGACGGAUUUUAGCGACAAGCAGAGUUCUGUCGCCGAGUAACGACGGAUUGGCUACGGAAUAAUAGUUUCGUUGCAAAAAAAGCCAAAAAAUAGUUAGUAUAUAAUAUAGCAACGGAUUAGCGACGAAAUUGAAAAUUCAUCGGUAAAUAUUGGCGCCCUCUAUUUAACUACAGAUUUAGCGACAAAACCUAAGCGACAAAAUUUAUUUACCUACAGCGACGGAAUUAGCAACGAAAAGUCCGUCGCUAUGCUAAAUUUCUGUAUCAAAAUUG